UUAAGAGCCCUGAUUGUCAUGAUCUCAUCAUGGCAGCCCUGUCUUCUCCCUGGUGUAUGUGUUGUUUCCCCUGUCUGUAUUGCUUGUCUUGUGUCUCUCCCCCUGUCUGCUCUGUGUGUGUGCAUGUGGGCAUGGUCUCGCUCCAACCAGCAGCAGCCAGAUUGCUGUGUUUCCUAGUUACCCGCGUUUGCUUCUCCCCGCCUGCUUGUGAACCUGCCGCUUCACUGCCAUUGCUCUACAGCAGACUGCACACCACGCCGCCUUCACCCUCGUCUUCACCGGUGACCUCACGAACCACAAAUGGGACCCCGGGACCUUGCACCACCUCUCCUCACCUACACUUAUUUGCCAUGUUUGAACAUUAAAAGACUGUUAUUCACUGUUACCUGUAGUUCUUAGUUGUGCUUCUGGGCUCAGAUCUUGUACAAAACCAUAACACUGAUCCUCAUGCUACCUGCUGCCAGAUUAUCACGUCAGAACUGAAUGCUCAGCUUCCAGUCACCUCGCCUUCAGCACCUAUGCAGCCAACAGCCUUGCCCUCAGUACCCGUGAGCUCCACACUCCAAUCUAUCCAGAGGCGCCACUGGGAGCUACCUCAACUCCUCCUCCUCUGUGGCAGACCCAUUCACUACUCAUACUUGCAUAUUUCCUGUGAAGCAUCAAUACAUUUCUUUACUAUUCAGCUCCCUGCCUUGUUGUCCACCUCUGGCUCCUACUACACCUAUUAAUUGUAAAAUGAUCCCUAUACAUCUAGUAAGGAGAACAGGAACCAAAACUCUUUUAUAUGCAUAUACACCAAUCUCCAAUUCGAUGUGAACACUUCUCUACUUUUACCUCCUUUAAGUGUGACUGCAUGCAGUGGUUAAAUUGGCUUUUGUAAGGAGGGGGAGCACUUCUUCACUCUGGCCAUUCUCUCUCUCUCUCUCUAUCUAUUUUUUUACCUUGCACCAUCAGUGUAAUACACAUUUUAUUUAUCACAUUCACAUAUUGAUAACUUUUUAAGCCUACAUUUCACCAUCAAUCUACACUGUAAUUUGUAAAAUGUAUUCACAAUAUACAUAAUCAAUUCACAUAUUAGCAACAUUUAUUUCCAUCUCAUCAAUACACAUCAAUUAUUUGCAUUGUCACCUUACCAUCAAUUCAUAUAGUAUUUACAUCUCACACAUACAUCUGCAUGUCAAAACAUCAAACCACAUAUCAGCAGACAAUUUAAUUUAGAACUUUCCAAAUUGGAUUCAGUUCAAGUUUCUGCCCCUCCUGUCUCUUCCUACAUCCUAUAUGGUCUGCCCACCUUCGGGUCAUAACCCACUUCUUUACAUGUUUCUCUGGGUUCCACAUUUCUAAUGGUGGACCUACUAGGUUUAUAAACAUCAAGCAGGACAGCUGAUUCCGAACAGGUGAAAUUAUAGUUUUCAUAAGAGAAAAUCCUCUCUCACAUUCUGCUGUGCUUACUUCACCCACCUGCUGUGAGUCAGCAGCACCGUGUGCGUGCGUGCGUGCACUUGCGCGGUAUGCGAGAAGAUGCCGGUAGCAGUGAAAACAUGGACUGGAGUUUCAUUGGUUCAGGUUUUAUCUCAAUUAAUGAGCGGAACGUAUUUAAUAAUGAAUCUCUGACACAAUGCUCUGAAAACAGCGCUGAGUGAACAGGCUGAUGUAUUGAUGGGGAUCCAAAUGAAUGAUUUUAAAAAGU